rnacentral:lncRNA from 1 species
AAAAUCUAAUACAGCACCAACCCCAAACCCCUCCUCUCUGAAACUGAAGGGAAAUUUAGCCCCCCAGCCCCGCAGCCCUGCUCGUUGUCGUCGCCACUCUUCUUCGCUGGGUAUAGGCGUCGCCUGGGGAAUCUCCGUCGCCGUCUCCUCUGUUCGAGCUCUCUCUCUGUGUUCGCCGGUGUCGCCUUCUUCUCUGUCGUCGCCGUCACUCCCCUUCCUCUUUCCGAGCUCACUCUGUCACCCCCGUUCCUCCCUUGGCGUCUCACCGGUA